rnacentral:lncRNA from 1 species
CAAAUCUGAAUAGACAUAGCUGUUUAUGUGAUUGUGGAGAAAAUAAUCUAUUUGCUUUUGUUUUCUCUCCAUUUGAGUUUCCAGAAAGAGAUCGUAGUACAAUGAAGGAACCACCCAUAUUUAUAGAUGGCAUGGGGAAGUGUAAAUCAUAGUCACAUUUCAGCAGCACUGCAGUAUGUUUCUACCAAAGAUGAGCCUCCCACGUGUCAGACAAACCACCUACAAAAGGACCACAGCAUUGUCAGUGUUUUUUUGGUGUGGUUUUUAUUUUGUUUUGUUUUUUAGCACAUUCCUGAUAAUGAAAUUCAUGUUGAACUCAACACAAAUAGCUUUUCUUUGUUCCUGGCAGUAAACAUCCUACACCAACCUGCAUUUGACUGUUUAUUGUCCUCUCUGGCUAGGCGUGACUAUGGGAAUAGAGUAGAGGAUAUUCUGGGGAUUUAUGAGACCGUUAAUGUAUUUUUACUCCUAUUGUUUUGUGGUUAAAGGUAACAUCCUUUUUCAUGCUAAAGGACAUAAACAUUGACAUAAGGUUCUAUGAGACAAAAUGUUGUACUAUUAUUUAUUAUAAUUAUCUAUAUAUAUAUAUACAUUAUUUGUUAAUUAUGUCCUUAAUUUAAAAAUAUAUUAUUAAUGUAAAAAUCAUUGGUUAAGACCAAUUAGUUAUUUUUGCUUUUUUAUUCAAUAAAUUUUACUGAGCUCUUCCUUCAUACCAAAAACUGUGAAAUAUUUUCUUACCUUCAAGAAGGCCAUAGUGUAGAGUGACUCAUAAAAAGCACAUUCAUAGUACAAGGAAAUCAGAGUGAUAAAGUUUGUUUCUCUAAGGAAAGUAGGAAAAUGCUUCUGUAUAAGGCAUCAUCUUAAAAGAUGAAUAAAAAUUGCCAAGCUAAAAUGUAGAUAAGGACAUUUUGGACAGAACAAAAAAGUCUAUACUAAAAAGAUUUAAAAGCAUUGCUUGCUGAAGUAGUAAGCUUAGUAGCUGCUUGGAAAAGAAAUAGUUGAGACUGUGGCUUGAAACAUAGUCAGGAGUUAAAUUAGAAAAAUCUUUAUAUACCUCACUGAGCAGUUUAGGCUUAAAUCUGUAUGCAGAGUGGACAACAGAGGUCAUUAAACUAACAAGUCACAGAACUGUCUUUAUGUGCUUUGGAAAAGCAGACUUCUUGAGAAUAUCAAAUAAUAAUUAGAGAAGUUAGAGCCAUGAGACCCUGGAGGAGUUCUGCAAUACUCCAAAUGAGAGAUAACUUCAGCUGAUGUCUUACACAGGUACCAUUUGUGUUAGUUGAUGUACAAUUAUAUAUAAUGUGGGAAAAAGGAAAAUUGUGGGGGAUGUCUGAGGCUCCUAAGUAUAUUAAUGAGCAGAUGGUAACAUCAUUAUCCAACACAGAUCUUCAGGGGAAGGAACGUUUUUGUGUAAGAUUCUGACAUUGCUUUCCAUUACCAUUGAACAGAUGUGGGUGGAGAUGUCCAGUGAAAAACUGGAAACAUAUUUCUGAAAUUCCAGGGAGCUACAAAAAAAUAUAAAUAUCAUCAGGUGAUAGAGGUAGUAGAUGAGUUCAUUGUAGCAGAGUAUGCUCAGUGCAAAGUACAGUGGACAAAUGACACUGUGUUGGAGAAGAAAGCCAGCCAUCUUUGCUGUUCCUAUCCUGUCUCACUUGCUUGACACUCUCGAAGUCCUAAUCAUUCUCUGUCUUGAGUAUUUAUUUGCUACUCUUCUGUUUGUGACACUCAUAGUUACUGGAGGAAGUCUGAUUCUUGAGGUUAAUUGAAAAUAUAUUUGGGUAUAAUGUAGGAAGUCUUUGGAAAUCUCAAAUAUAUAUAUAUUUGAGAUAUAUAAAUAUGUAUAUAUAUAUACAUAUUUUCUUAGAAAUUCUUAAAAGGAGAUAGCAUGGUGUGCUGGUUAAGAGCACAGAUUCUGAGGCCAGACUGCCUGGUUUCAAAUCAUAACAAAUAGAUAUGCGACCUUGGGUAAUAUAUUUAACCUCCCUGUGCCUUGGUUUUACCACCUAUUAAACAGGGAGAAGAUAAUGGUACUUAUUUUGGGGCAGUUUCACAUAUUCAGCUAGUUAGUAUUCAUAUAACUCUUAGAACAUCAUCUGGGAUAAAUUAAAUGCAAUAAGAGUUUCUGCUGAAUAAAUACUGAUUACUUUAUCCAGUAGUUUUCCAUAGCCUCUGUCUAUGUGUGUAAAAUGAAGGGAAUCAAGCCUGACCUUUUCAUUGGAAAAAUAUAUUAUUAGUCUAUCUUGACAAUUUUUGUCUAUUUAAAUCCUAGAAUGAUGAAUGAAUCCCAAAAAAUGAUGAUGUGGAUGUUUCUGCAUUUUUUUCCAUUCAAAUCUUAACUGUAAUAUAGCUUGCCUUUUCAACUUGUUAAAUAUGUGUUUAUUUGUGUUUAAUCCAUAGGAAAGGUCAUAGGAAAAACAUUGACAGUUGGAGAUAUCCAAACAAAGCAUCACAGUGUGUCCCCAGUAAAGCUUGAAGAAUUUAACAUCCUAUGUGACAAUCAUUCCAGUAGCAGUGAGAAAUGCCACUUUUCAGUUUGUCCUAAAAUAAUGGCAACAGUGUAAAUGAGAAGGGGAAUGUGUGAAAAAAUAGAAUCAUGAGCCAUAUAAUGUUUAAAAUCUCUGUUACUUGUUAUGACUUUUAAUUCACUUUAAUUACUGAAAUUUGAAAGUCACACUAAGCAGAUGCUCAUAAGGACCAUACUACUCAAAGAGUGGUCCUUAGACCAAAUAGCCUUGACCUCACCUGGGAGCUUGUUAGAAAGGUAGAAUCUCAGUCUUCAUCCAGAAAAUCUACCUUUUAACAAGAUUCUCAAGCCAUUUCAUAAAAAAUUAAAGAAUACCUGAAUAAGGGCACCUGGAAGUCAGUAAUAGAUUGACAAUAGGUAGGGUUUUUGGAAAAUAAAAACAAAAAAACUCAACUCUCUCUCCAGUGCCACUUCACUAAAUUUCUGAAAUAAACCUACUUCAUAAGUAUGAAUAUUACACUUGUUUUUAUUCCCCAUAUAUUUAUUAAGAACAUAUUCUCUGCUAGUCACUGCUAUGGAUUCUGAAGAUACAGUGAUUAACAAAAUAAGCAAAGUUCUUUAUACUGAAGGUAUUACUAGUCAGAUGUGUUCUAAGAAAGCUAGAGGAAAUUCUUAUUUAAGAGCAAGGCUUUAAAGAAAUAGGCUUUUCAAGACAUGUGAAAUUUUCCCAGAAAGCAUUUUACAUAUUCAGUUGCUGUAUAUCAUUGGUGAAGAAUUGGUCACUGCUUAGUUCUUACUCAGAUUCUGGGGGCCAGACUACUUGGGUUCAAAGCCUGGCUCCCGACUUUAAGACAAAACACUCAACCUUUUCUUUUCCUCUGUUGCACAGUGUUCUUAUUUGAAAAAUGGGGGAAAGUGUCUACAUCAGGAUAUUAUUGUGAGGAUCAAUGGGAUUGAUAGAUACACAGUACUCAAGACUGUGCCUUGCAUUUGGUAUGUACUCUGUAAAUAUAAUAGACUGUUACUGCUGCUCUUUGUUAUUGCAUAUUUAAAAGUUGCUAAGAGAAUGAAUCUUAAAAUACUCAUCACAAGAAUUUCAUUUUUUAAAAUCUAAACUAUUUUAUGAUGGUGUCAGAUGAUAACUAGAUUUAUUGUGAUGAUCAUUCACAAUGCAUACAAAUAUUAAGUUAUUAUGUUGUACAUCUGAAACAAAUAUAAUGCUAUAUAUCAAUAAUAUCUCU